rnacentral:rRNA from 1 species
GACGAACGCUGGCGGCGUGCCUAAUACAUGCAAGUAGGACGCCGUUGCGAACGGGUGAGUAACGCGUAGGUAACUGCCUCUUAGAGGGGGAUAACUAUUGGAAACGAUAGCUAAUACCGCAUACUAGUAGAUGGACCUGCGUUGUAUUAGCUAGUAGGUAGGGUAAUGGCCUACCUAGGCAACGAUACAUAGCCGACCUGGGAGGGUGAUCGGCCAACCUGGGAAGGGGACACGGCCCAGACUCCUUCGGGAGGCAGCCGGAGGGAAUCUUCGGCAAUGGGGGGAACCCUGACCGAGCAACGCCGCGGGAGUGAAGAAGGUUUUCGGAUCGUAAAGCUCUGUUGUUAAGGAAGCGGUACUUAACCAGAAAGGGACGGCUAACUACGUGCCAGCAGCCGCGGUAAUUC